AUGUUAUCACGGGAGACACACGGCGGGUGCUAACGUCCGUCGUGAAGAGGGAAACAACCCAGACCGCCAGCUAAGGUCCCAAAGUCAUGGUUAAGCGGGAAACGAUGUGGGAAGGCACAGACAGCCAGGAUGUUGGCUUAGAAGCAGCCAUCAUUUAAAGAAAGCGUAAUAGCUCACUGGUCGAGUCGGCCUGCGCGGAAGAUGUAACGGGGCUAAACCAUGCACCGAAGCUGCGGCAGCGACACUAUGUGUUGUUGGGUAGGGGAGCGUUCUGUAAGCCUGCGAAGGUGACCUGUGAGGGUUGCUGGAGGUAUCAGAAGUGCGAAUGCUGACAUAAGUAACGAUAAAGCGGGUGAAAAGCCCGCUCGCCGGAAGACCAAGGGUUCCUGUCCAACGUUAAUCGGGGCAGGGUGAGUCGACCCCUAAGGCGAGGCCGAAAGGCGUAGUCGAUGGGAAACAGGUUAAUAUUCCUGUACUUGGUGUUACUGCGAAGGGGGGACGGAGAAGGCUAUGUUAGCCGGGCGACGGUUGUCCCGGUUUAAGCAUGUAGGCUGAUUGUCCAGGCAAAUCCGGAUAAUCAAGGCUGAGGUGUGAUGACGAGGCACUACGGUGCUGAAGUAACAAAUGCCCUGCUUCCAGGAAAAGCCUCUAAGCAUCAGGUAACAUCAAAUCGUACCCCAAACCGACACAGGUGGUCAGGUAGAGAAUACCAAGGCGCUUGAGAGAACUCGGGUGAAGGAACUAGGCAAAAUGGUGCCGUAACUUCGGGAGAAGGCACGCUGGUGUGUAGGUGAAGCCCCUGCGGGUGGAGCUGAGACCAGUCGAAGAUACCAGCUGGCUGCAACUGUUUAUUAAAAACACAGCACUGUGCAAACACGAAAGUGGACGUAUACGGUGUGACGCCUGCCCGGUGCCGGAAGGUUAAUUGAUGGGGUUAUCCGUAAGGAGAAGCUCUUGAUCGAAGCCCCGGUAAACGGCGGCCGUAACUAUAACGGUCCUAAGGUAGCGAAAUUCCUUGUCGGGUAAGUUCCGACCUGCACGAAUGGCGUAAUGAUGGCCAGGCUGUCUCCACCCGAGACUCAGUGAAAUUGAACUCGCUGUGAAGAUGCAGUGUACCCGCGGCAAGACGGAAAGACCCCGUGAACCUUUACUAUAGCUUGACACUGAACAUUGAGCCUUGAUGUGUAGGAUAGGUGGGAGGCUUUGAAGCGUGGACGCCAGUCUGCGUGGAGCCAACCUUGAAAUACCACCCUUUAAUGUUUGAUGUUCUAACGUUGGCCCCUGACCGGGGUUGCGGACAGUGUCUGGUGGGUAGUUUGACUGGGGCGGUCUCCUCCCAAAGCGUAACGGAGGAGCACGAAGGUUAGCUAAUCCUGGUCGGACAUCAGGAGGUUAGUGCAAUGGCAUAAGCUAGCUUGACUGCGAGCGUGACGGCGCGAGCAGGUGCGAAAGCAGGUCAUAGUGAUCCGGUGGUUCUGAAUGGAAGGGCCAUCGCUCAACGGAUAAAAGGUACUCCGGGGAUAACAGGCUGAUACCGCCCAAGAGUUCAUAUCGACGGCGGUGUUUGGCACCUCGAUGUCGGCUCAUCACAUCCUGGGGCUGAAGUAGGUCCCAAGGGUAUGGCUGUUCGCCAUUUAAAGUGGUACGCGAGCUGGGUUUAGAACGUCGUGAGACAGUUCGGUCCCUAUCUGCCGUGGGCGCUGGAGAAUUGAGGGGGGCUGCUCCUAGUACGAGAGGACCGGAGUGGACGCAUCACUGGUGUUCGGGUUGUCAUGCCAAUGGCACUGCCCGGUAGCUAAAUGCGGAAGAGAUAAGUGCUGAAAGCAUCUAAGCACGAAACUUGCCCCGAGAUGAGUUCUCCCUGAGACUAUAAGUCUCCUGAAGGAACGUUAAAGACGAUGACGUUGAUAGGCCGGGUGUGUAAGCGCAGCGAUGCGUUGAGCUAACCGGUACUAAUGAACCGUGAGGCUUAACCUU
rnacentral:rRNA from 1 species